rnacentral:lncRNA from 1 species
UUGUUAUCAAUCCAAACAUAUGGGAUUUCAAUAUCCCAGCCGGUGGGACCCGCAGCCACCUGCAUAAUUGCCUGGCCAACUGUCACGUCUGAAAAUGUUGUCUCUUUUGGAAACACACGCAGGGCACAAAAAGAGAAAAAAAGAAAGGCAAUUAAGGCCAAAAGCAGCAAUGACAGCCUGCGCCUGUCAUUCAAACCUGCUGGGAUUUUCGGGAUUGUAGCCGCUGAGCCCACUAUCGCCGUCCCAAAUAAUGCACCGCUCAGACAAUGCCAAUCAUAAGUGCGCAUGAAGACGAGGAAUUAAAACCAAAAAGUAAAAAAACA